AUUGAACGCUGGCGGCAUGCCUUACACAUGCAAGUCGAACGGUAACGGGCCUUCGGGUGCCGACGAGUGGCGAACGGGUGAGUAAUACAUCGGAACGUGCCCGAUCGUGGGGGAUAACGAGGCGAAAGCUUUGCUAAUACCGCAUACGAUCUACGGAUGAAAGCAGGGGACCGCAAGGCCUUGCGCGGACGGAGCGGCCGAUGGCAGAUUAGGUAGUUGGUGGGAUAAAAGCUUACCAAGCCGACGCUCUGUAGCUGGUCUGAGAGGAUGAUCAGCCACACUGGGACUGAGACACGGCCCAGACUCCUACGGGAGGCAGCAGUGGGGAAUUUUGGACAAUGGGCGCAAGCCUGAUCCAGCCAUGCCGCGUGCAGGAUGAAGGCCUUCGGGUUGUAAACUGCUUUUGUACGGAACGAAAAGCCUUCUUUUAAUACAGGAGGGUCAUGACGGUACCGUAAGAAUAAGCACCGGCUAACUACGUG
rnacentral:rRNA from 1 species